rnacentral:rRNA from 1 species
UACGUAGGCAGCGAGCGUUGUUCGGAGUUACUGGGCGUAAAGCGUGCGUAGGCGGUUUUGUAAGUUUGGUGUGAAAUCUCCCGGCUCAACUGGGAGGGUGCGCCGAAAACUGCAAGGCUGGAGUGUGGGAGAGGUAGGCGGAAUUCCUGGUGGUAGCGGUGAAAUGCGUAGAUAUCAGGAGGAACACCUGUGGUGUAGACGGCUUACUGGACCAUGACUGACGCUGAGGCACGAAAGCGUGGGGAGCAAACAGG